rnacentral:rRNA from 1 species
UAGACCUCAAAUCAGUCAGGACUACCCGCUGAACUUAAGCAUAUCAAUAAGCGGAGGAAAAGAAACUAACAAGGAUUCCCCUAGUAACGGCGAGUGAAGUGGGAAAAGCUCAACUUUGAAAUCUGGCACUUUCAGUGUCCGAAUUGUAGUCUCAAGAAGUGUUUUCUGUGCUAGUCCGUGUAUGAGUCUGUUGGAACACAGCGUCAUAGAGGGUGACAACCCCGUUCAUGACACGGAUCCUAGUGCUUUGUGAUACACUCUCGAAGAGUCGAGUUGUUUGGGAAUGCAGCUCAAAUUGGGUGGUAAAUUCCAUCUAAAGCUAAAUAUUGGCGAGAGACCGAUAGCAAACAAGUACCGUGAGGGAAAGAUGAAAAGCACUUUGGAAAGAGAGUUAACAGUACGUGAAAUUGUUGAAAGGGAAACGAUUGAAGUCAGACGUGCGUGAUGCGGUUCAGCUCUGGUUCGCCAGAGUGUACUCCGUAUCUUUGCAGGCCAACAUCGGUUUUGUUAGUCGGAUAAAGGUUUGAGAAAUGUGGCACCUUCGGGUGUGUUAUAGUCUCAGACUGAAUACGAUUGAUGGGACCGAGGAACGCAGCGCGCCGCAAGGCAAAGGUUCCGACCUUUUCGCGCUUAGGAUGUUGGUGAAAUGGCUUUAAACGACCCGUCUUGAAACACG